rnacentral:lncRNA from 1 species
GAGUGUUUUCAAAGCACUGCACGAGCAUUAUCUAAUAAUCCUCAAGGCAGCUCAUUGAGGAAUGGAGCAGACGGUUGCCAGACCGUGGUAUGCAACGUUUACCCCUUGAAAAUCUUUAAAGAAUUUAAACUUUGCACAGACGUUUUAAGCAGACCCAGCUGCCAAUUCCACAUGA